UACGAAGGGGGCUAGCGUUGCUCGGAAUCACUGGGCGUAAAGGGUGCGUAGGCGGGUUUUUAAGUCAGAGGUGAAAUCCUGGAGCUCAACUCCAGAACUGCCUUUGAUACUGAGAAUCUUGAGUAUGGGAGAGGUGAGUGGAACUGCGAGUGUAGAGGUGAAAUUCGUAGAUAUUCGCAAGAACACCAGUGGCGAAGGCGGCAUCCUGGACCGGUAUUGACGCUGAGGCGCGAAAGCUAGGGUAGCAAACGGG
rnacentral:rRNA from 1 species